CAAACCUAUGUCUCCUGUAUCUCCUUCACUGGCAGGCUGAUUCUUUACCAUUGAGCCACCUGGGAUACAGAAUCAAAUUUAGGAACCAGGAUUGUGAUUAACCAUAUUAUAUAUGCAUGAUGUUAUGAUUUAUGAUAAGUAUGUAUUUGGUCUUUGUCCCUGUUUCUGGUAUAGUGCUCCUAAAAUCCUUGGAAUUGCCUGACAAGAACAAUACAGGUGUCUUUCAUUAUCUUAAUAAGGUGAUUUUGGAGUCUCACCUAAGGUUGGGUAUUGGUUGCCAGGAGAACCAACCAGGUGAUUAGAAGGUUAACACUUUCAGCCCUACCCCCACCUCUGGGGCACAGAGACAAGCUGGAGAUUGAAUUCAAUCACCAUUGGUUUAAUUAAUCACAUCUGUGUAAGGAAACCAUAUAAAAACCCAAAGGUGGGGUGGUGGUGGUUUGAAGAGCUUCCGGGUUAAGGAGCAGGUAUCAGUGUGGGGAGAGUGACACUCCUGGAGAAGACAUGGAAGAGGUAGCUUCAUGUACCUCCCUACAUUCCUUGCCGUAUGCAUCUCUUCCAUCAGAUGUUCAGCUAUAUCCUGUUAUAAGAAACUGCUAAACAGUUAUCCUACUGUAUUAUAAAGAACUAUAGAUCAUUCGAUUUUCACAAAGAGAGAUGUUCUUUUAAUCUCUCCAUAAAAGAAAUUCCGGAAAAAGUCUGAAUUCAUGACAAUAGCAUGUGACAAAAUGAGCCUCCCUCCAUGCCCCACUCCAUCCCACCUCUCUAGGUUGUCACAGAGCAAUGGUUUGAGCUCCCUAAGUCAUAUGGCAAAUUCCCACUGGCUAUCAAGAUGGUGACUGCAGCCAUGAAAUUAAAAGACACUUACUCCUUGGAAGAAAAGUUAUGACCAACCUAGAUAGUAUAUUCAAAAGCAGAGACAUUACUUUGCCAAC